GCCUUCGUGGUGUAACGGUAGCACACUCGGCGAUUAUUCAGGAGGUUUAGGUUCAAAUCCCGGCGAGGGCA
rnacentral:tRNA from 1 species